CACGUAGGGCGCAAGCGUUGUCCGGAAUUAUUGGGCGUAAAGAGCUCGUAGGCGGUCUGUUGCGUCCGCUGUGAAAACUCGGGGCUUAACCCCGAGCCUGCAGUGGAUACGGGCAGACUAGAGGUAGGUAGGGGAGAAUGGAAUUCCCGGUGUAGCGGUGAAAUGCGCAGAUAUCGGGAGGAACACCGGUGGCGAAGGCGGUUCUCUGGGCCUUUACUGACGCUGAGGCGCGAAAGCCAGGGGAGCGAACGGG
rnacentral:rRNA from 1 species